GGGCAUUACGAUCAGGUACCACCUUGGUGGACGGGGGCAUUACGAUCAGGUACCACCUUGGUGGACGGGGGCAUUACGAUCAGGUACCACCUUGGUGGACGGGGGCAUUACGAUCAGGUACCACCUUGGUGGACGGGGGCAUUACGAUCAGGUACCACCUUGGUGAAUGUGGGCAUUACGAUCAGGUACCACCUUGGUGAAUGUGGGCAUUACGAUCAGGUACCACCUUGGUGGACGGGGGCAUUACGAUCAGGUACCACCUUGGUGAAUGUGGGCAUUACGAUCAGGUACCACCUUGGUGGAUGGGGGCAUUACGAUCAGGUACCAC